rnacentral:lncRNA from 10 species
AGGAAUUUUGUGUGAAGUGAUAGUGGAGCCAGGACAGCAGUGUGGCAGAAACCAGUGAGUGACACUUCAAGGAGGCCAGAUGGCCAAGCAGCAUCUGGAAUCGCUUUGCCUGCAGUUAACAGCAUAUUUUAUCUCUGCUACACGAGCCAACCUUCAACUAUCCAUGUAAAUGGAAGACAAAACUACUGAAGAUAAAAUUGAUACCCCCAAGAAAAUUCCAAAUCUACACUGAAAUCAACUACUUUCAUUCCCUAAGUAUUUUUCAUAGAAAUUCCAAGUUAUGUGUGAGUAGUAUUUCCAUAAUUUAACCAACUUCCUGUAGUCAUCCUUCUUUUGUUGAAAAGACCUAAUCUAAAAUUGAAGUGACUGUGGAGAGAAAACCCAAGUUCACUGACCAUGUAAAUUCUAUAAUUUGCCUUGCAUAAGUAGGAAUUUAUGAUAUUAACAAUCAGGAGCCUAGAAAACAUUCCAGGAGAAAUUGAGUUAAAAUUAAAUCAGUAAGGCCAGGCACGGUGGCUCAUGCCUGUAAUCCCAGCACUUUGGGAGGCCGCGGGAGGUGGAUCAUGAGGUCAGGAGAUCGAGACCAUCCUGGCUAACACGGUGAAACCCCAUCUCUACUAAAAAUACAAAAAAUUAGCCAGGCGUGGUGGCAGAUGCCUGUAGUCCCAGCUACUCGGGAGGGUGAGGCAGGAGAAUGGCCUGAACCCGGGAGGCAGAGCUUGCAGUGAACAGAGAUGGC